AGGGGGACUGGGCAUGAUUACAUCGCCAUACAUAUUGGAUUUGCUCAACCCGAGAAGCUCUUGCAACAGCCAAGAGAGUUGAAUAAAUCUGAACAACAGAUUACCCACGAGGAAGCUAACGUAACAGCCGAUGGGCCAUUAGAUAACCAUGAUGAAAAGGAAAGCUGUCAAACAACUCUGCAGGGUUAUCAGAAGAUUCGAUUGAUGCAUGGACAGCAACAAGUAUGAGUCUGGCUCCUGGAGUUUUAUUCUAUCUAAUCACCUUGGAUGUAAAGUUCCAAAAAUUCUUAUUGAGAUAGCAAUAGAAUCAAGACGUACAUAGACAAGCAUGAGACAAGUAUGAGUCUCCAAGCUGGCUCCUGGAGUUUUAUUCUAUCUAAUCACCUUGGAUGUAAAGUUCCAAAGAUUCUUAUUUCUGGGAAACCUGUGGUAGCCCAGUUAUAAA